UCCUUGCCUUCAUUCUCUGAUCCUUCAGCCACCAAAGUAAGGAGAAUUCAAUAAGCUGAUGCUCUGCCAACUUGAAGAGUCCCUAUCAUCUGCAUUCAAUAUCGAUAAUAGCAGCCACCAACACCAAAUAUUUGCAGGUCAAGCGCGAGAUUAAUAAUCAGUCAAGGAGCUACUGUACCACAUAAAGUUGCUAUCAGGUUGAGCUGUAGCCGAUGGUGAUGAAGUGACGAGCAGGAACUUCUUUUGUCUUGACAUUAUAUAUAUAUUUUGAAAAACUCUUGGGUACAUGUCUUCAUACAUGUAAUCAGAAACCUUAUUACUUCCGCUGCGUACUCAAAGAAGUCUUAUGUUAUUUUGGCUAAGUCGGAAAUAUCCGAACUUACUAGUUCAAUCGAAUCAUUGCAACUAAACCUUCGUUAUA